rnacentral:tRNA from 1 species
GGGAUAUAACGCAGCGGUAGCGUGUUUGUUUUGGGAACAAAAAGUCACAGGUUCAAAUCCUGUUAUCCC